GAUGAACGCUGGCGGCAUGCCUAACACAUGCAAGUUGAACGAGAAGUUCCGGAACAAGUCUUCGGACAAGGGAAGGGACGGGAAGUAGCGAACGGGUGAGUAACGCGUGGGCAACCAACCUUACACAGGGGGAUAACGCAGAGAAAUUUGCGCUAAUACCGCAUAAGCGCACAGGAUCACAUGAUCUGGUGUGAAAAACUCCGGUGGUGUAAGACGGGCCCGCGUCUGAUUAGCUAGUUGGUGAGGUAAAGGCUCACCAAGGCGACGAUCAGUAGCCGACCUGAGAGGGUGAUCGGCCACAUUGGGACUGAGACACGGCCCAAACUCCUACGGGAGGCAGCAGUGGGGGAUAUUGCACAAUGGAGGGAACUCUGAUGCAGCAAUGCCGCGUGAAGGAAGAAGGUUUUCGGAUUGUAAACUUCUAUCAGCAGGGAAGAAAAUGACGGUACCUGACUAAGAAGCCCCGGCUAACUAUGUGCCAGCAGCCGCGGUAAUACAUAGGGGGCAAGCGUUAUCCGGAAUGACUGGGUGUAAAGGGUGCGUAGGCGGUAAGGUAAGUCUGAUGUGAAAGACUGGGGCUCAACUCCAGGGGUGCAUUGGAAACUAUGUUACUAGAGUACAGGAGAGGGAAGCGGAAUUCCUAGUGUAGCGGUGAAAUGCGUAGAUAUUAGGAGGAACACCGGUGGCGAAGGCGGCUUUCUGGACUGAAACUGACGCUGAGGCACGAAAGCGUGGGGAGCAAACAGG
rnacentral:rRNA from 1 species